ensembl:lncRNA
UCCUAAAUUUCUAUUCAAGCAGUGACUUUGAGGUUUAUUGUAGAAAAACAAGUGAAAUGAAGACUGGUUCAGAUUUAAGAACCAACUUUGGCACCACAAGAUUAUGACGUACGAACAUCUCCAUUAUUAUUAUCGUUGUUGACAGUGCUUUAGGGGAAUAAUGCAGAUUUUUAGUUUUUUGAAUGUGUUUCAUAAUCAAUUUAGUGUGUAACACAAACAAAAUAAUCUUUUGAGAUUAAAGUUAAGGGUCUAACUACAAAAUUGCAACUGAUGGAACCAGGAAACACCCAACACUGGCCAUAAAAAAUAUAUAUAAAUAUAUUAUAAUCCCCCACACACACCAUUAAAUGCAAUCAUUGUACAUUGUACCAGUCAAAGGUUUGGAACCACUUUCUCAUUGAAUGAGAAGCUGUGUCUUCUGACGAGUACGGUGUAUAGACUAAACGGCUGUUUGUAAAUUUGCUGCUUUUGAAAUUUCCAGGUGGUGUAUUUCACGGCGGUGUUCCCCUAUGUGGCGUUGGUCUACUACCUGAAUCCAGCUCAAUAAUCGCACAAGCUCCAUCAGCUGGGCUUAAAGGCCGACAAAGAGGGAGUUCCCUUCGACGAUGUGGUUGAUUCAGGUUGGGGUUUAAACAGCCUCAGUCUUCUUCAGACACAAUCAAAUACAACCUGGCACUUCUCCUGGAAAAGUACAACAAUCUAACAGGAGACCAUUUCAAUAUUUCUUCUGUCUUCCCAAGCUCCGGCGUGCGUUCAUUGUCCUCUGGCUGUUGGCAUGAUGCUCCUCCCUCAGCAGGGGGGCCGCCUGCGUCUUCAUCCUGCUCAUUCUGUUGGGACUGGACACACUGGUCAUUUAGCUGACACUUUUUAUCCAAGGCGACUUGCAUUGCAUUUUUGCCCGGGGAGCAAUGUCUUGCUCAGGGACACUUCAACAUGGGACAUGGAGCAGCUGGGACUCAAACCCCCAACCUUGCAGUUCCUGGCGGCUAGAGUUAGGAGCACCCUCUCUGCUCCAUGCGCCAUGGUCGACCCCAGGGUUCCAUCAGCUUCAUCCCUCUCACUACUCCUCAGAGACUUCCUAACAAGGAUAUUUAGACCCAGAGUGGAAGGAAUGGCCUGGGAGGAGUUUGGACCCCGUUCCCCCCUCUAUUGGUUCGCUCCUGGGGGGGGGGGGGGGGGGCUUGGCUUUUCUCGGGUUUGUUUUCAUAUUCAGUACGAGCAAACUGUACAAGAACAUGCAACAUACAAGCUGGCCUAA